rnacentral:rRNA from 1 species
AAGGUUGGACAAUGGGGAAACCCCGACCCAGCCCUCGCGCGUGUAUGAUGAAGGUCUUCGGGUUGUGAAGUACUUUUGGCAGCGCAGAGAAGGCAUCUCCUUAUACGAGAUACUGCUGACGGUAUCUGCUGAAUAAGCACCGGCUCACUACUUGCCAGCAGCCGCGGUAAGACGUAGGGUGCAAGAGUUAAUCGGAAUUACUGGGCGUAAAGCGUGUGUGGGCGGUUCGGAAAGAAAGAUGUGAAAUCCCAGGGCUCAACCUUGGAACUGCAUUUUUAACUGCCGAGCUAGAGUAUGUCAGAGGGGGGUAGAAUUCCACGUGUAGCAGUGAAAUGCGUAGAUAUGUGGAGGAAUACCGAUGGCGAAGGCAGCCCCCUGGGAUAAUACUGACGCUCAGACACGAAAGCGUGGGGAGCAAACAG